UACGUAGGGUGCGAGCGUUGUCCGGAAUUACUGGGCGUAAAGAGCUCGUAGGCGGUUUGUCGCGUCGUCCGUGAAAACUUGGGGCUCAACCCCAAGCUUGCGGGCGAUACGGGCAGACUUGAGUACUGCAGGGGAGACUGGAAUUCCUGGUGUAGCGGUGAAAUGCGCAGAUAUCAGGAGGAACACCGGUGGCGAAGGCGGGUCUCUGGGCCGAAACUGACGCUGAGGAGCGAAAGCGUGGGGAGCAAACAGG
rnacentral:rRNA from 1 species